rnacentral:lncRNA from 1 species
UUUUUUUAUACUACAUUCACUUACUAUUCACUUACUGCAAAGCUACCCCAAACUUAAAGGUUGUUAUUCCAACAGCAACCCCAAACUUAGAUAGAAACGUAGAGAUGAAAUCAAUCCUCACAUACUCUGAACAGGGUAGGAUAGUUACAAGGUCAUGGAUUGAGAAAAAAACGGGUAUAUCAGAAACAAAUGAUUAACAGGCUCAACAGGGUGAAACAAUGGAU